UACGUAGGGGGCAAGCGUUGUCCGGAAUCAUUGGGCGUAAAGCGCACGUAGGCGGCUCCAAAAGUCGGAUGUGAAAUCCCUGGGCUCAACCGAGGAAGUGCAUCCGAAACUGCGGAGCUUGAGUAUGGAAGAGGGUCGCGGAAUUCCCGGUGUAGAGGUGAAAUUCGUAGAUAUCGGGAGGAACACCAGUGGCGAAGGCGGCGACCUGGGCCAAUACUGACGCUGAGGUGCGAAAGCGUGGGGAGCAAACGGG
rnacentral:rRNA from 1 species